AUGAAGCAUUCAACUGUGCUCUGUGAGGUACGGCAUCUGGCUGCCAGCAGAAGGCUCAUGAAGAGCAUUUACAAGGUGUUCCCAUUACUUGGGGUCCGAGCCAUUUCUGUCGGGUUGGGAAGCUGCACCUGCAGUGGCACAGAUGCCCGCAGGGCCCUGGCAGGGCUGCCGUGCCAGCCGCACGUCAGAUCCAAAGACAGCUGCUGCCUGACCCCCUCAGGAGAACAACAGGUGUUUACUAGGAACAGUGCCUGUAAAAGACCAGAGAAUGAAAACUGUCCAAGCUGACCACAGUGCACAGCCUGUUCCAGGAGGAAGCAGUGUUAUUUGCUAGAUUUUGCUGUGAAACAUCCCAAGGAAAGGCAUCUUGUCUGGGGGUGCAGUAAAAACCUGCACAGAGCACCUUGUGCUGGACGGGGACAGUGGCGCCCCUCGGAAGUAGACAACGAGGUCUCCUCGUCCCUGGUCAUCUUGGAUCAAGGAACUCAGCGAAAAUCUAAAAGCUCUAAGGGGACCGGAGGUGAGCGGAGGCCUUUCCUCUUCUGACCCAUGAAGCCUGCAAGGCCAUGUGACAUGGCAUGGCCUGCUGUGUGGAGAAGCAUGGGGCCGGCCGUGCUCGGUUCCUGCACCGCCACCCGCUUUCCACCCAGCCAGCCGGGGCUCACGCCGGCCUGGGGCUGGCCCCCCGUGGCGACCUCAUAGUGGGAUGUUUUGGUUUGCGGGUUUGGUCUUGUUGGAAACAGAGGUGAGAGAGUAGACAGAAGACUCCUCCAUGGUCAUGCCUGCUGGCUUGUCCUGCUCUUCCCUCCUACUGCUGCCACUGGCUCCUUGCCGUCCAGCCAUGUCCUCACUUGGGUCCCAGGCCACCUCUGCAGACAAGCCCCUGCCUCCCAGGGUGGCCCUCCUGAACCCUUGGGUUUUCUCAGGCAGUGGCUGAAAGACAAGCUCCCUGGAAGUGCCGGGGAACCGGGCCAGGGACAGAGACUCUGGGUUUAUGGGCAGACUCGGAGUGAGUCGCCCUGAGCAUGUUCUCUUGAAGUCUCUUCCUCGUCUCCAUCCCCACAAAGACCCUUAAACAUUGCUAUGGUGUGUCUUUCUACUCCAGAAACUUUCCUUUUUAACCCAAAUGUCUGAGCAAAAUAAUUAAUGAUCCAGAAGAUACAUGGACACAAUUUCUGAUUUUUUUUCUCCUUUAAAGAAGAUAACAAUGAAUUAACAGCUCCAUUGAUAAAUAAAAAAAAAACAGUAUGUAUGGAUGGAAGUCA
rnacentral:lncRNA from 1 species